GAAUACUUUCAUUCCACCAUAUAAAAUAACGUUCACAUGAAAACGUAAACAUUCAAUUGACAACAUUCUAGUAGCGAGUAAUUGAUUUUUUAUUGAGAAGGGACUAUGGGAAAACCGGACAUAGAAGAUGUAUUCCAACCAAGUACCAAAUCAGUAUCUUGCUGCAGCUGUGGGUAAUAUAUUGACGGUCAUUUAUGGCAUCUCCGCAGGAUGGGCAAGUCCUUCUCUUUUCUAUUACAAUCGGACAAAUCGCCAUUGCCAUCGGGUAAAAUUACAAUAGAUUGCAUCUUUUAUUUGUAUCGGUGGUUUGAUUGGAAAUAUCCUAUUUGGAUGGAUUACAAGUAAAAAAACUUCCAAUUUGGGUUCAAAUUGGACAACUGGCCUCGUCGAUAAAGCCGGAAGAAAGUAUUUGUUUGUAGUGUCAUCUCUUGGUAUUGCUUUGGGUUUAAUUACACUGGUAUAAUGUUGAUAUCAUGGAAUGUUAACUUGGAAGUCGUAAACUGGAUUCCAAUUACAAGUUUCUCAUUCGUAAUAUUUAUAGCAAGUUGGGCGGUAUUAACCUUUCCAUUCUUGGUCAUCUCGGAAGUGAUGCCGGAAAAAAAUAAAGAUUUUGGACUCUCAUUUUGUAUAGCCUGCUUAUGGACGUGUUCAUUUGCUGUAGUAAAAUGUUUCCCAUUACAUCAUGGUACAAUGUUCCUAUUUUCGGUUUUCUGUUUGGCUAGCACAUUAUUUAUUAUCAUUUACAUGCCGGAAACAAAGGGAAAAGGCUACGAUGAAAUAAUGUACUCACUUCGUUAAGAAGUAUUGGAUUUGUUUUAAAAAUCAUUCAAUGCGAUUCAAACAAAUGACAUAUUCAUUGCUUAUAUAAUG